GAUCCCUAUGGUUUCGUACAUUUGUUCGACCAUGCAAAUGUUAAGAGAAUUGUCUUACCCUAGACUCAAGUUUCUGGAGCUGCUUCUUGCCACCCUUCAUGGCCAGGUUCUCAGCCUCAUCCAGACGAUGCUGCAAGUCCUUAACAGCCACCUCCAGGUUCUUCUUCAUCCUCUCCAGUUUUGCAGGUGAUGUCAUCAUUCAGCAAUUCACAUCCUUUCUCUCAGUUGUGGGCAGAGAAGAAGAAUUUGUUUCCUUCCAACCCCUGAGGCAGGGUCUGGAUGUCUUUCUCCACUCCAAACUCUGCACGUCCCUGACCUGCCAAAGUGCUCUCUUCCUGUCCCAUGGACAAGCCACAGUGGAGAGAGGCUUCUCAGUAAAUAAGAGGUAGAAACGUGCAACCUCCGUGAUGAAUCUCUUGAAGCCCUCAGGUUAAUCUGUGAUAAGGUAAUUGUCUGAAUGUUCCCCUGACCAAGGAGCUCCUGGCCUCUGCUGCUUCAGCAAGUUCACAACACAGGCUAUACCUUGACAGUGAGCGGAAAAAGAAGAAGAGUGCCACAGAAGAGGUGAUGAGGAAAGCAGCAGAGAAAAAGCUGAAUGACCUCCGGAACCAGCGGCAGGUAUUCAGUAGUGUGUGCCAUUCACUUGAAAAUGAUGCAGACAAGUGUGCAGAGAUGGCUGAGGGAAAGGCAGGAACAAAGAUGGCUGAGCUCAUUACAAAAUCCAACUCUCUUCGAAGAAGACUCAAGGACAAAAAAGCAGAACUUCUCCGUGUGGAAAAAUUGAUAGAAGAAAAGGCCACACAGCUGAGGCACUUGUGACCCUGCCUUGUGUCUAACUGAAAUGUUUGCCUGUUAAUUUCAUUGGUUGUUUAUGAACUCCCUCUCUCCCGCUCUCUCUCUGUUGGACAGUUUUUGCGUCCAGUGUUGAUAAUUAAGUGAUUAACUUUAUUUGCUCUCUUUCAAAUUCCAGUGUGUAGCUCAUUCUAAAGGUCCAGUCUAUCUUCUUAUUGUUAUAAUUACCUUGUUAAAUUGUGGGGGAAAUAUGUUAAUUCAUUGUAGAAAGAUAUUUCAUUACUUUACUUGUCACUUUACUUCACACUUUAUGCUGCUACAGUUGAAGCUUGAAGUGAUGCUGGUAGUAAAAAAUAUUGUGAAGGUAGUAAAAAAGUAAAAAAGGUAAUAAAAGGUAGUAAAUUCAACUUAAGAAUCUCUGUAUAAACCCUGAUCAAAAUA